GCCACGUCUGAAAGCUGCUCAUUGUUUCAAUUAUACUCUGCUGGGUUCCUAAAGGAAACAGAUUUCCUCAGCCUGCAAACUUUUACUGAGAUCAGAAAGAUUUUACAGCUGUUGACUCUCUUGCAGCAACCAAAAUCCAUUCAAUUCUGCAAUGGCGCUUCUGAGGCAAGUUUAGUGAAUAAUAAAUUGCAAAUGCAAAGAGGAGACCACAUCAAGAGCAACAGACACAGUAGAAGAGGUGUUUGGAUGUGCAGGAAAAUCUCUGCCAGAUGUGGAAGAAUCCUUUGGGGCCUUGGAUGAAGAUGCUGACAGACCUGGUAACUUUCUCCAGCAAUUUCUGUUUUUGUUACUUGAAGAGGAACUUACACCUACAACUUUCUGAUGACCAUCUACUGAGCCAUGACUGUCAUUUUUUAUGCAAUUAAAGUCUUCUAUAUUUUA